rnacentral:rRNA from 1 species
GAUGAACGCUAGCGGGAGGCCUAAUACAUGCAAGUCGAACGCUCUGAUUUCGGUCAGGGAGUGGCGCACGGGUGAGUAACACGUACGCAACCUACCUUGUACAGGGGGAUAGCCUUGGGAAACUGGGAGUAAUCCGCCAUGGUAUCAUAAAAUCGCAUGGUUUAAUGAUUAAAGCUUUCGAGCGGUACGAGAUGGGCGUGCGUCUGAUUAGGUAGUUGGUGAGGUAACGGCUCACCAUGCCAACGAUCAGUAAGGGGCGUGAGAGCGUGGCCCCUCACACGGGUACUGAGACACGGACCCGACUCCUACGGGAGGCAGCAGUAAGGAUAUUGGACAAUGGGCGAAGCCUGAUCCAGCCAUCCCGCGUGCAGGAUGACGGCCCUAUGGGUUGUAAACUGCUUUAGAAUGGGAAGAAAGUUGUGUUUUUAAAUGCAAUUGACGGUACCAUUAGAAUAAGCACCGGCUAACUCCGUGCCAGCAGCCGCGGUAAUGUCUAG